rnacentral:sRNA from 1 species
UUUGUGCAGUGAUGAGAAGAAAAACCUGACUGAUGUGACCUAAAGAUGGAGGAGAAAUUGAUGACAGAGAGCAUUAAAAAAAAAUAGUAUUUCCCUAUAAGGUUGUUCUGAGGAUUAAAUGAGUAAAGUGCUUGAGAACAAUUUCUUGCUCAUUGAAUUUUUGGCCCAUGGCCUCAGCAAUAUAGUUUCUUCAUUUUUCUUCUGCAUACCAAGUGCUGCUGCCAUGGGAAGGACGGCUGGCCUGUACAGCACAGGAGCGAAGACACAGGUGGCUUGUCUAAUAUCUUGCAUUUUCGUCCUUAUAGUCAUCUAUGCAAUAGGACCUUUGCUUUACUGGCUGCCCAUGUGUGUCCUUGCAAGCAUUAUUGUUGUGGGACUGAAGGGAAUGCUAAUACAGUUCCGAGAUUUAAAAAAAUAUUGGAAUGUGGAUAAAAUUGAUUGGGGAAUAUGGGUCAGUACAUAUGUAUUUACAAUAUGCUUUGCUGCCAAUGUGGGACUGCUGUUUGGUGUUGUUUGUACCAUAGCUAUAGUGAUAGGACGCUUCCCAAGAGCAAUGACUGUAAGUAUAAAAAAUAUGAAAGAAAUGGAAUUUAAAGCGAAGACAGAAAUGGACAGUGAAACCCUGCAGCAGGUGAAAAUUAUCUCAAUAAACAACCCACUUGUUUUCCUGAAUGCAAAAAAAUUUUAUACUGAUUUAAUGAACAUAAUCCAAAAGGAAAAUGCCUGUAAUCAGCCACUUGAUGAUAUCAGCAAGUGUGAACAAAACACAUUGCUCAAUUCCCUAUCCAAUGGCAACUGCAAUGAAGAAGCUUCACAGUCCUGCCCUAAUGAGAAGUGUUCUUUAAUCCUGGAUUGCAGUGGAUUUACCUUUUUUGACUCUUCUGGAGUCUCCAUGCUUGUUGAGGUUUACAUGGACUGUAAAGGCAGGAGUGUGGAUGUAUUGUUAGCCCAUUGUACAGCUUCCUUGAUAAAAGCAAUGACGUAUUAUGGAAACCUAGACUCAGAGAAACCAAUUUUUUUUGAAUCGGUAUCUGCUGCAAUAAGUCAUAUCCAUUCAAAUAAGAAUUUGAGCAAACUCAGUGACCACAGUGAAGUCUGAGACCCUUUUGUCACAGUACAGCUCUUGUCUUUAUCAACUGCCUGAAGAGGCCAUAUGCUGGCAUUUUGCACAACUUUUUGGUUGUUUAGAUCCUACAGAUGACCUCUGCUACAAUAAGUACGAUGUGACUUAGUAACUGCAUAGCAGUUGGAAAGAACUGCCGACUUUUUUUUCUCAUUUUUGUUAGUAAGAAGAUUCACUUAGUUAUUUUAUGUAAAAAUCAGUAUGUGUUUAGUCUUAGUGUCCUGAAGGGUAAACAUGGUUUUAUUUUAUUUUACCAUAUUAUUUUGUGUUGUUUUAUUUCUAUUGUGCUGUAAGUUGAUGUUUAAAAUUGAGAAAUACUUUUGUCAUAGGUAAUUUGGAACAUUUACAAGCCAUUUGUAAAAUUUUAAGAUAAUCUGUAACUAAUACAUAAAAACAACUUAGCAAAUGUGCCAUUUUCACACAACUUCUCUCUGUAUAGGCCUCUGAAAUAUCAAUAAGGCUAAAUAUUACUUUACACAGUAAGAUGUGAAAUUCACAAAAAGUAAGCCAAACAAAACAAAUGAAAAACUGGAAAUAAUUCGUUUCCAUAUCUUUCCAUACAUCCAUUUCUGAAGUAUUCAGGAAUGUUUUCAUAAUAGAAAGAAACGGGUAGCCCAAUAAAACCAAGUUCUUGACAUUGGUCUGUUUUGCUGUGAAUAUUGGGAAUGCUUAGGAUCUUCAGACCCAAUAGCUCUAAUUUUAACAUUUCUACCCAAUAAGAGGCUCUGUUUUCCACUGAAGCUUUGUUGGAGAAAGAGAAUAUGAAAAUUACACAUUUUAUAAUUUUUAGAUGAGAAAAUACCACUAGCAGAAUAGCUUUGUGCUAUUCCAGUAUAAGAUGAACUGUAAUAAUUUUUGACUUCCUUAUUUCAGAGAUAGUCAAUAUAAUAUGUUUAUCUAUAUCCAUAUGGAUGGAUAGGUAGGUAGAUCUUCAUAGAUUUUUUUUUCUUUUGUUAGAGGAGAGCUUGAUGUGAUUAUCUGCAAACCAACAGGAUAAUUGACAAAUAAAUGCCAUAGGCUAGGCUGAACUGUAUGUUACUGUUUUCAUGCUUAUACAUAUAUUUUCAAUCACAUACAAGUACAUAGAAUUUCAUAUUUUAAUUUAGCAAAUUGAUUUACCUAGGAAAAAAUUAUCACCUUCAAAGAUAGGCAUAGACACAUAAUUAUGCUUAAGCUUUUAACAGCAUUUUAACCGCUCUAAAAAUUACCAGAGUAAGAAAAAGCUAGGUACUUUAAAGUGAGUUUGAGAAACAAGUUGAAACUAAAAUUAAAAUACCAGCCAUUUAGGUGCUUUCUCUGGCAUCUAUAAAAGUAAAUUCUAGUGCCUGCCAAGUGAUGGAUUGUAAUGGUCUCUAGCAAAUGUGUGGUAAACAUUCAUAUGGCCAUUAAUUUUAACAUUAAAUCGUAGGUAGGGCAAUGUAGUAAAAUGAAAGAGAAUUAAGAAAGGUUUCGAAUUCUUAUAACAUAUCCAGCCAUUUCAAUUUUGAUUGAAAUGAACUACAAAGAAUAGUGUUUGUCCCUAUGGUAGCCUCAGUCUCUUUAUCACUAACUUGGAUUGAAAUGAGUGAGGCCAACUCACAUUCCCAUCAAACACUCUUCCAAGGAAAAGCAGAAGUAAUAAUUGGAGGUAAAGUUUCCUUAGAGAAAAUAAUUUUAUUCUGCUUUGUCCAAUUAAAUUAUUCCAAUGGUGGAUGGUAAUAUUCACCAUCUCUAAUUCAUUGGUCACUGGUAGGUAAGCAUGAGUUAAGGAAAGUCAGCAAUGAAAAUAUAUUUUGCUGUGUAUAAAUUGACAUUUUGCUAUGCAACUCCUGUAAUUGAAUUUGUAUAAUGCAGGCACUUUCUAAUUUAUUAGAGAUUAUGGAUCAGUUCUGACAUUAAAAUCAUAGUUAAUUGAUGGAUGGUUUUUAUAGUUUGUUGAUAAAGUGGACACAGUAUUGUCUGAGCAGUUAUAUUUUAAUGCAUUUCAGUGUUUAUAGUAGAAGUUUAGUGGAUAAAACUUUAAGUCCAAUAACUUGGGGGUCAAAUGCUAAUGUUUUAUUCAAUGUAAAGGAAGACCAAACCAUGUACCUUAUGAAGACCUUUGUUUUAAGACUUCCACACACCAAGGCUACAAUGACUGUUAACCUGGAGGAAGUCUCUGGUAUGGAGUUCUGAGAGCUUAAGAGCUAAACAUGAGUUUAGACACACAAGAUUCUAAAAUGCAAAUGUUUAUUUUGAAACAGGCAUUGACAACACAAAAACUGUGUAGUGGUCUUGAUGCUGGAUUGUUUCUAGAGUCACAAUGAAUUAUUUUUAUGAGAUUACCUUAUUUUUAUAUAUGACAAACUACUUCUAUAAUACUUAUUAUGGUAAAAUAAAAUUGGAAAAAAUUAAAACUGACCUAUAAGAGUGUUAAGGACCUAAUAGAGUGACAUAUAUAAAUUAAGCAUAAAAUAUGUAACCAGGAAAAGACUGUUAACAUUACAUUUAUGCAAAUUAAAUGCCCUUAAAUUUCACCAUUUGUCUUUCAUUUUAAAGGUUAUUUGCUCCCGAUUAUAUGAUUCAAGUGUUAUAAGAUUUAGCUUGAACUACUUUGCAGUAAUUUAUUUGACAGAUCUCUAUUCUAUAAAUGUGUAAUGUGAUGAAGAAAGAGAUCUUUCUUUUUUAAUGAAAACAUUAAUGUGUUAAUACCCUGUAUGGAUAAUGCUUGACAUUUAGUGGUUGCCAAAAUAUAUUAGUAUAUUGUUGAACAUACAUUAUGCCUUAGAAAUGCACAUUCUGUAUUUUGUGGGAUGAUAAUCUAAUUCAGUAUAGAAUAUGCUGUUUGGCAAUGAGUUUGUGGCCAGAUUUCAAAUAGGGAGUUAAGUGGUACUUUCACAAUCCAAAGAUUUUUAGUUAAAAAUCAUGUAGUCUAAUAUGCUGCAGUUAUUUUUUAUAUUUUUCAAUGCAUUUAAUUAUCUUUUUUAUAAUUCUUUGUACUAACUCAGCAUGUAACAACCAAUUUACAUGGAAAUAAAUCGAAAUAUGA